CAAGCUAGAGUGUNUCAGAGGGGGGUAGAAUUCCACGUGUAGCAGUGAAAUGCGUAGAGAUGUGGAGGAAUACCGAUGGCGAAGGCAGCCCCCUGGGAUAACACUGACGUUCAUGCUCGAAAGCGUGGGUAGCAAACAGGAUUAGAUACCCUGGUAGUCCACGCCCUAAACGAUGUCAAUUAGCUGUUGGGCAACAUGAUUGCUUGGUAGCGUAGCUAACGCGUGAAAUUGACCGCCUGGGGAGUACGGUCGCAAGAUUAAAACUCAAAGGAAUUGACGGGGACCCGCACAAGCGGUGGAUGAUGUGGAUUAAUUCGAUGCAACGCGAAGAACCUUACCUGGUCUUGACAUGUACGGAAUCUCUCAGAGACGGGAGAGUGCCUUCGGGAACCGUAACACAGGUGCUGCAUGGCUGUCGUCAGCUCGUGUCGUGAGAUGUUGGGUUAAGUCCCGCAACGAGCGCAACCCUUGUCAUUAGUUGCCAUCAUUAAGUUGGGCACUCUAAUGAGACUGCCGGUGACAAACCGGAGGAAGGUGGGAAUGACGUCAAGUCCUCAUGGCCCUUAUGACCAGGGCUUCACACGUCAUACAAUGGUCGGUACAGAGGGUCGCCAAGCCGCGAGGUGGAGCCAAUCUCACAAAACCGAUCGUAGUCCGGAUUGCACUCUGCAACUCGAGUGCAUGAAGUCGGAAUCGCUAGUAAUCGCAGGUCAGCAUACUGCGGUGAAUACGUUCCCGGGUCUUGUACACACCGCCCGUCACACCAUGGGAGUGGGGGAUACCAGAAGUAGGUAGGAUAACCGCAAGGAGUCC
rnacentral:rRNA from 1 species